rnacentral:rRNA from 1 species
CACGUAGGGCGCGAGCGUUUGUCCGGAUUUAUUGGGCGUAAAGAGCUCGUAGGCGGUGUGUCGCGUCGGCCGUGAAAACCUGCAGCUUAACUGUGGGCUUGCGGUCGAUACGGGCAUCACUGGAGUUCGGCAGGGGAGACUGGAAUUCCUGGUGUAGCGGUGAAAUGCGCAGAUAUCAGGAGGAACACCGAUGGCGAAGGCAGGUCUCUGGGCAUUAACUGACGCUGAGGAGCGAAAGCAUGGGGAGCGAACAGG